UCAGGGCCCGCCUGCUUGCAGGCGCGGCGCUGGCGUUGGGGAUCGGCCCUCACCGGUCGUCCCCCAAAUACAGUGGCGGUCUCGCUGCAG
rnacentral:rRNA from 1 species